rnacentral:rRNA from 1 species
GACGAACGCUGGCGGCGUGCUUAACACAUGCAAGUCGAACGGAAAGGCCCUGCUUUUGUGGGGUGCUCGAGUGGCGAACGGGUGAGUAACACGUGAGUAACCUGCCCUUGACUUUGGGAUAACUUCAGGAAACUGGGGCUAAUACCGGAUAGGAGCUCCUGCUGCAUGGUGGGGGUUGGAAAGUUUCGGCGGUUGGGGAUGGACUCGCGGCUUAUCAGCUUGUUGGUGGGGUAGUGGCUUACCAAGGCUUUGACGGGUAGCCGGCAUGAGAGUGUGACCGGCCACAUUGGGACUGAGAUACGGCCCAGACUCCUACGGGAGGAAGCAGUGGGGAAUAUUGCACAAUGGGCGGAAGCCUGAUGCAGCAACGCCGCGUGCGGGAUGACGGCCUUCGGGUUGUAAACCGCUUUCGCCUGUGACGAAGCGUGAGUGACGGUAAUGGGUAAAGAAGCACCGGCUAACUACGUG